UAGCAGAUUUUUUGAUAGUCGUAAUUAAAUAUUUUGGAUAGAUUUAAUUUUUGAAUGAAACACUUCCUUCUCGUUCAUUGCAUUAUCUGUUGCACUUCAAAUGCACAUAUUUAUGUUUAUCUGUUGUAGGGUUGCCAUACAACAAGUAUUAUUCGAAAUUGUAGGUAUUUUGGCUGUCAUUCCAGGAAAACUUUGUAUAGUUUUGAUAUACUUUAAGUAUUGAUUUUUGGAAAAUAUAAUAUUUUAGAGACAUGAUAACAAAUGUUAUCAUAGGUUUUUUAAGGCUGUUCUGGAAUGAUAUUUGUUAGGUUUUGUUUACUUCAAGGUCUGAUACAGAAACUGGAGUAAUUUUCAUUUAAUGAAUUAGAGUAUUUUAUUGUUUAUUCGUUUGCCACCCGGCUUUUGUUUUGGGUCCUUUAAAUUCGAGAUCAUUCAGUGCGCCGUUCUUUCUGUGACGAGAUCCUCUUGUAUAGUGAUCGGACGGCCGUAUAAGGGCCUGGAGCCCGGCAUGCCACGUGCUGCCGUGGCGUUCCAUAUUUUGUGUGGUGCGUUCUGUCAGUCUGACUGGCAGAAACAUGCUAAGGGUGGGAGUGCUCCUUGGAGAUCCUCGGUCUGCAGUCUGCAGGUCUCCGGUGAGCUCGCUUACAUUUUUUUGUUUAGUCUAUCACAGUGUGUGAGGGCACUCGACUAAUGUGACCAAUUUAUUUGUUUCAUAGGAGUCGGGAAGAAGUAAAGAAUUAGAGAAUUGCAGAAGUAGAUAAUUAAACAAGAACCUUUACAAUUUCAAUGUGCAAGGAAACUUCUUUGGCUUACUGGCGCAAGGUGUCUUUGGACCUUGUUUUCGUAUGGAAGGGUCAGCCCUGUCCACGUGGCGAGGGGGCGUCAGCACCGGAGUCCGGGGAGCAGCCGGCUCAUCCCUGACAAGGUGUGUCUCCUGCCCGUUUCCUGCCGGUAAUGCUGUGUAAUUCAGGUUUUAAUUUCUGUGUAAAGUAAUUUCUGAUUUCAUUUAUUUUGAGAAUUCUGGUGCAUAACUUUAGGUAAAUUCAUAUUUAGUUUUUUGUAGAAUAAAUGGUUGUAAGAAACCUUUUCCUGGACCCUCUUAAAGCGGCCCAGCUUUACCACUGAGCGUAGUUCUUAUUUCAUAUAUGGUGUCAAAUUUAGUAUUUUGGAAACAUUAACUUAAACCUAUCUGUAAGGCAAGAUUUUGGUAUAAUAAAUAUAUAAAAUGUGA